UACGUAGGGUGCAAGCGUUGUCCGGAAUUAUUGGGCGUAAAGAGCUCGUAGGCGGUCUGUCGCGUCGGCUGUGAAAACUCGGGGCUCAACCCCGAGCCUGCAGUCGAUACGGGCAGACUAGAGUGCAGUAGGGGAGACUGGAAUUCCUGGUGUAGCGGUGAAAUGCGCAGAUAUCAGGAGGAACACCAAUGGCGAAGGCAGAUCUCUGGGCCGUAACUGACGCUGAGGAGCGAAAGCAUGGGGAGCGAACAGG
rnacentral:rRNA from 1 species